UACGUAGGGGGGCAAGCGUUGUCCGGAAUCAUUGGGCGUAAAGCGCGCGUAGGCGGACCUGCAAGUCGGGGGGUGAAAGCCCGAGGCUCAACCUCGGAACUGCCUUCGAUACUGCGGGUCUCGAGUCCGGGAGAGGUGAGUGGAAUUCCUAGUGUAGAGGUGAAAUUCGUAGAUAUUAGGAAGAACACCAGUGGCGAAGGCGGCUCACUGGCCCGGUACUGGACGCUGAGGCGCGAAAGCGUGGGGAGCAAACAGGG
rnacentral:rRNA from 1 species